CAAAGUGUGGCGUUCAAAGUUAUACCGAGGUUCCUAUCAUCUUUGAUAGUGGGUCGAAGUUCCAUUUUAUUCGUUUUCCAUCCAUACAACAUUUAACCUUUCCUAAGUAUUCGUAUAAGUCCCGGGUUAACACACUUAUAUUGUGUUGGUUCAACCUGAAUACUUGGUUUUCAUUCACCUAUCAACCUCAAUACAUUCCAUAACCCCUUUUGAACUAAAUUUGAG
rnacentral:lncRNA from 1 species